GACGAACGCUGGCGGCGUGCCUAAUACAUGCAAGUUGAGCGAUGAAGAUUGGUGCUUGCACCAAUUUGAAGAGCAGCGAACGGGUGAGUAACGCGUGGGGAAUCUGCCUUUGAGCGGGGGACAACAUUUGGAAACGAAUGCUAAUACCGCAUAACAACUUUAAACAUAAGUUUUAAGUUUGAAAGAUGCAAUUGCAUCACUCAAAGAUGAUCCCGCGUUGUAUUAGCUAGUUGGUGAGGUAAAGGCUCACCAAGGCGAUGAUACAUAGCCGACCUGAGAGGGUGAUCGGCCACAUUGGGACUGAGACACGGCCCAAACUCCUACGGGAGGCAGCAGUAGGGAAUCUUCGGCAAUGGACGAAAGUCUGACCGAGCAAAGCCGCGUGAGUGAAGAAGGUUUUCGGAUCGUAAAACUCUGUUGGUAGAGAAGAACGUUGGUGAGGGUGGAAAGCUCAUCAAGUGACGGUAACUACCCAGAAAGGGACGGCUAACUACGUG
rnacentral:rRNA from 1 species